ACGAGGGGAAGGAGCAGUUUAAAACUGGCAAUCGGGAGUUUAGGCAUCAACAGGCGGAAAAUGAAAUCACCCGGCUUGGAACGUGGCCAAGGAACGGGGAUUAAAGCCAGCAGGCCCACACAGAGCUCCCAGAGCUGCAGGCUCGUCUGUGACUGCAGACAGGAGCACAUGGAAAGCUGGGAUUCACUUUCCCUGCAGUGGUCAGGAGGAGCCAGGAGGGGUUGUCUGCUCUGUCUUAUAACAGAAAACACUGGAAUUUUCCUCCCGUGCCCCACACUGUGUCGUGUUUUCCUGGAAUUGGAAUGACUCGGAUGGACCUUUUCUCUGCACCUUCUGCACUGAGGAAAUAGCUGUUUUUUCCAUCCCUGUGGGGCUGCACUGGAGUCUGAGGGGAUUCAGCAGCACGUGGGCACCUCUGUGCAUUCCAGGUUUGCCUCUCCAGGGCCAGGGCAUCAACAGGAAUGAUGGGAAAGCUCCUGCUGCUCCUGCUCUCUUCCAGGGGCUUUGGGAGUCGUUGCUAAAGCAGGAGGCUGGUGGGAGGGAGGGAUGUGAAGGUGGUGUGGGGGUGUUGUGCUGGUUUGUUUAAUGGAGGGAGCAGUCUGGGGACACAGAGAUGCUCUCUGCAUUUUAAUUUGGAUGAGGCACAAACCAAUCUCUGGCUGUAACCAAAAAGAGCAGUAAAACCACUAGUUCUGCCUCCU